rnacentral:tRNA from 1 species
GUCUCAGGGGUAUGAAAAAACCAUCGCCGGCCUUUCACGCCGGCGACAGGGGUUCAAACCCCCUUGGGGAUGCCA